AUUGAACGCUGGCGGCAUGCCUUACACAUGCAAGUCGAACGGUUACGCGGGGCAACCUGGCGACGAGUGGCGAACGGGUGAGUAAUACAUCGGAACGUGCCCAGUAGUGGGGGAUAGCCCGGCGAAAGCCGGAUUAAUACCGCAUACGACCUACGGGUGAAAGCGGGGGAUCGCAAGACCUUGCGCUGAUUGAGCGGCCGAUGUCAGAUUAGCUAGUUGGUGAGGUAAAGGCUCACCAAGGCGACGAUCUGUAGCGGGUCUGAGAGGAUGAUCCGCCACACUGGAACUGAGACACGGUCCAGACUCCUACGGGAGGCAGCAGUGGGGAAUUUUGGACAAUGGGCGCAAGCCUGAUCCAGCCAUGCCGCGUGAGUGAAGAAGGCCUUCGGGUUG
rnacentral:rRNA from 1 species